rnacentral:rRNA from 1 species
GAUCAUGGCUCAGGACGAACGCUGGCGGCACGCUUAACACAUGCAAGUCGAACGAGAGAAGAGAAGCUUGCUUUUCUGAUCUAGUGGCGGACGGGUGAGUAACACGUGAGCAAUCUGCCUUUCAGAGGGGGAUACCGAUUGGAAACGAUCGUUAAUACCGCAUAAUAUAAUUGAACCGCAUGAUUUGAUUAUCAAAGAUUUAUCGCUGAAAGAUGAGCUCGCGU